GUUACGUACUUUUUGUAGUUUUUUGUAUAUUUAAUGUGCUUUUGCAAACUUUUGCUAUAUGUUCUCUACUUUAUAUUAAAGCUGAGAUUUCAAACUUUCAUUUGGUAUAAGACUGCACCUAGGGCGAGGGGCUGCUCUAUAUUUCCUAGGCCAUUGAAAAUGCAAAAUGUGCAAUUUUUGCACCACAAUUCUGUUAUUAAAAAAAAAAAUUGUGUUUUUUUUUAUUAAUUUUUUCAUUAACUCAUUCUACAAUAACUAAAUUAAUUAAAAAAAUACUUUAAAGUUAUAUUUAUUAUGUAUUUUUAUUUUAAUAAGCUUUUGAUUAUUACAUAUUGAACUAACAUAUUUCAAGCGCGUUGGCAUACCUCAACUUUGACUGGCUCUAGACCAAAAAGUAAUGAAGUUAUGAGGCUGAAAUUUCAGGGAAUUGUUACUCAUAUAUCUGUUAAUAUACUGUGAAAAUUUCAUCACGUCAAAAACCAUUUUUUGCCGCUGUUACUAUAGGGCUGUCUCACUGUGCAUCGUCCUUCUCUUCCGUCGGGGCGUGGGCGCAGAUAAGUGAUAUGUUGAAGAACCUCGCUUUGAUACGGGUUGUGGCUAGACGUUCAUCCACCCGGGGUGAGUGCCAGGACACCUUCUUCCGUCCUUGUCCCGUCCAUCGCUUUUCUUGGAUCUCGGUGAUGUCAGCCUUUACUGUUCCGAGGACAUCAACCAGCGGGGAAGAGGCACCUUGACAAUUAAGAGUCGGGAUAAUCCAGGUGCAUGCCCGUAAUUCGUAGUUCUUUAUACGUUUGCGGUCGUCGUCAUUAAAAUUGGGGUCUCUCAUCCGAGGCUAUUGCUUCCUAUGCACAACCGCAAAAGCGGGAUUCGCCCUCUCACUUUAGUUCGCCUCCAAAAGGAUGACUGUUGGCUACCCACAGGAUACUUGGUCUAAGAUCGGAAGUCGUGAGCUGCUUGAGCCACAUACAAAAGAAUCGUUCCUGGUCACUCCCAAGUGAAUGAGAGUCACUUACAUGAACUUCUACACAUGACAUAUGACAUUUUACAUCUACAACCUUCAUGAUGUAUGGAUUUCUAUUUUUAUUCCAAUAAAAUGUCGUAUAUCUUUUAAGUCGGUCAUUCUAAACUUUUCCAUUAAAUACUUCUUUAAACUAUUCAUUCUUGUCAUAUCCGUGUAGCUAUUACAUAGCACAUCAUCAACAUAUAAAUAUACAUAUGUACUAUAUAAGUUUUCCGUGAUAUCACCUCUGUCAAGGAUGUAUUAGGGAUGCAGAAAAAACAUCGAUGCAUCGGAAACAUCGAUGUUUUCUAUACUGUAACGUAAAAUGGCACCAGAACAAACUAGAAUUGACAAUCGAAAUCGAUAACUUGCUAGAUCUAUCUAGACAUCGAUAUUCGUAGUUGCCAGAAUGUGCGAGUGACGGUAACAUGCUACCAAUCGACUAUAUAAGGGCUGCCGGGCUGGCAGCAACACACAGUUCUAAUAAGAGAGUUGUCGAGUGAGGACAAUUCUAAGAAGAGAGUUGUCGAGUAAAGUGUAAACAAUAAACGAUAUACAUCGAUAUAUCGAUGUAUUUUUUUCGAUGCAUCGACUUGUGAUUAUAAUGUACUUGGACUAUUUUUUAAAUAAUAUUUGGAGCAGCUUAUACAAGAAAUUAAUACUUGAUAAUAAAGCCCAUCAGACAAGACUAAUAUUUUACAAUUACAAUUAGAGAAACAUCAACUGGAGGAUUUUUACCACGAUAUAAAUUUGAUAGUGUACAUUCAGCAGGAACAAAUUCCAUUGGAGGAGUUAAUAACAAAAGUUAGUACUUGAAAAAAAGAAGAUGAUAGCAACGGCGUCGCCUUUAGUAUACCAUCCACGAUUACAGAAUUAAAAUGCGUGUUUUUCAAGAUUAAGAGUUAUAUAAUUAUUACUCAAAAUUUAAGUUGAAAAUUUGACAAUUUUUAUCUUGCAAUUUCUCGAUUUAUAGUUCAUUUUUCAUUUAUAUUGUGCACUUAUUAUUCUCAAACGCUUUGUUACAUUGUUUCUACAUAUUUAUUUUAUAUCAAUUAUUUUAAUAUUUGCUUCAAAUGAGCAUUUAAAUUUUCACACAAUUCUCAAACGAGAUCCAUGUUGACAAAAAUAAGUGUUGUUGUAUAUACAUACAUAUUUUGCAAAAGAAUCGAAUUGAAUAAAAAAAGAUGAUCACUUUUUAAAGUGCGGCCGAAAGCCACCAAUACUUAAAGAAUUGGUACGCGAAAGAAUUUAAGACACACCGAGAUAUAAUCUAUAUAUAUAAAAAUUAAUUGCUGUUCGUUAGUCUCAUUAAAACUCGAAAACUGAACGGAUUUUUCUUAUCUUAGUCUUAAAAUGUUCGUGGAGGUCUGGGGAAGGUUUGAAAGAUGAAAAAAAAUCGUAUAAUUGCCGGGAAAACCCUAAAAACAGCCCUUUUCUAUUUCCCAAGCAAAUGUUUUUUAAAUAAAAUUGAACUUAAUUGCCGUUUAAUAAAGUUCAAAUCACUCACUAUUGUCUAAGCAAUUUAGGUGUGUUGCUUACGUCAAAGAGUCAAUUUGCAAUUUAUUCCCGCUGCACAAAGUUCAAAUUCAAUCAUAUCUAUCAAAAUCGUCUUCGCAUGCUCUUUGGAGGAUCUAAUGUCGCGUUCCGAAACUAAAAAAAAGUAAAUCGCGAAUGCAUAGUCACAAAAUAUAAUAAAUCAUUAGUAGUACUGAUUUUUCCGACUGAGAAUCAAUUUGUUCGGUUUCGUGAAACCUAAUUUUAGCUAACUUCAGUUGUUACUACCGAGCUGCAUUCCACUAUGAUCCGGCAAUUAAUUAUUGUGCCGACAAAUCGGUAACAAUUGGGGAAAUGAACAUAAUUUGUAAAUAUUGUAAGGCGUUAAAAUACACCGGUGAAUCUACUGGAUUAUGUUGUGCUGGAGGCAAAGUAAAAUUGCCACAAUUGGUCCAACCACCAGAUCCAUUACGUUCUUUCUGGGAUUGGAAAUGAUUCUAAGCACUUCUUGGCCAACAUCCAGAAAUAUAACAACUGUUUCCAGAUGACAUCAUUUGGCGCUACACAUAUUAUACAGGACAAUUUCAUGCCCACUUUCAAGAUACAAGGACAAAUUUAUCACUUAUUGGGGGCACUGUUACCACUACCUGAUGCAGUUCAUAAUUUUUUACAAAUUUAUUUUAUGGGCAAUUCAGAUGUGGAAGUUGAUAAUCGUUGUGCUCACAAUCCAACAGUGAAGAGAACCAUUGUCCAAGAAUUACAAAUGUUUCUUCAUCAGAAUAACAAUUUAGUAAACAUGUUCAAAAUAGCAUUAGAUCGGAUGCCAUCUGAUAGCCAUAAUAUUAUCAUUCGAGCUGACAAAACACCUGCCGGUGAACACACAAGGAGGUUUAAUUCACCUACCAUUGAUGAAGUGGCUGUUUUAUUGUGGGAGAAAAUUUACAAUCUAGAGAUAUUGUGCUUCAUCGUCGGAAUAGUAAUUUAAAACGUGUAUCUGAAACACAAAGAAGCUAUGAUGGAUUACAAUAUCCUUUGAUCUUCUGGCAGGGGGAAGAUGGAUACCAUUUUAAUAUCAAAAUGGUAAAUCCAGUAACAGGUGCUGAAACCAACAAAAAAGUUAGUGCUAUGAAUUUCUAUUCAUACAGACUCAUGAUCCGUCAAGGUGAAAUAAAUCAUAUUUUGAUGUGUCAACGACUUUUUCAUCAGUUUGCAGUUGACAUGUAUGUCAAAAUUGAAACUGAACGAUUAACAUACAUCCGUUUGAACCAACGACAACUACGAUCGGAGGAAUACAUUCAUCUCCGUGAUGCUAUAAAUGCCGAUGGCAAUGUGAAUAAUGUAGGAAGAAUGACAAUUUUGCCAGCCACUUAUAUAGGAAGCCCACGCCACAUGCACGAAUAUGCUCAGGAUGCUAUGUCAUAUGUUAGGCAUUAUGGCCGCCCAGACUUAUUUGUUACAUUCACAUGUAAUCCAAAUUGGUCUGAGAUCAAGAGGGAAUUGUUACAAAGCCAAACACCAGUUGUUAGACAAGACAUAAUUGCCAGAGUUUUUAAACAAAAAUUAAAAUCUCUCAUGAAUUUAUUCACAAAGCAUUGUGUGUAUGGCCGAGUAUGUACUCUGUAGAAUGGCAAAAGCGUGGAUUGCCACAUGCGCACAUUUUACUCUGGUUAGUGGACAAAAUAAGGCCAAAUGAGAUAAUAUAAUAUAAUUUCAGCUGAAAUUCCAGAUGAAACAGCUGACCUAAAAUUGCAUGCAGUAGUUACCAAACACAUGAUACAUGGACCUUGCGGACUUUUCAACAACAAUUCACCCUGUAUGGUCGACGGCAAGUGUUCCAAGCGAUACCCAAGAGACAUGCUUGCUGAAACCAUAACGGGAAAUGAUGGAUACCCAUUGUAUCGUCGCCGAUCAGUUGCGGACAAUGGGCGAUCGGUAAUUGUGAAGAUAAGAGGACAAAAUCUUGAUGUAGACAAUCGUUGGGUUGUACCAUACUCGCCAAUAUUGUAUAAAGCUUUUGAGACGCACAUCAAUGUGGAAUAUUGUAACUCAGUAAAGUCGAUAAAGUAAAUAUAUAAAUAUGUUAACAAAGGUAGCGAUAUGUCUGUCUUCGCUGUAACCAAUGCAAAUGAUGAAAUAUCACAGUACCAGAUGGGGCGCUAUGUAAGUAGCAAUGAAGCAAUUUGGCGUAUAUUUUCAUUUGCGAUCCAUGAAAGAUACCCUACAGUAGUCCAUGUGGCGGUCCAUUUAGAAAAUGGUCAACGAGUUUAUUUUAAUCAAUCGAACGCGGCAGACAGAGCAGCACGUCCACCAUCGACAACAUUAACAAGUUUCUUCACAGUCUGUCAAACUGAUGAUUUUGCUCGCACUUUGCUGUAUGCUGACAUGCCACGCUAUUACAUAUGGAAUGCAUCAUCGAAAUCGUUUCAGCGUCGAAAACAAGGAACACCAGUUGAAGGACAUCCAAAUGUAUUUGCUUCAGACGCUCUGGGUCGCAUCUACACAGUACAUCCAAAUAACGAUGAAUGUUUUUGAAUGUUUGAAUGAAUGUUUUGCAUCGUGUGCGCGGUGAAACUUUGAAUCCUACACUACAAAUGACUGACGAAAUUUACAAUGAGACAUUGAUUAUGAUAGAAGAUAUGUGUUUAUUGAUAGCUAAUAAAGUAUUGUCGUGUUUGGAAAUGACAUUGAAGAAUUGGCCGAAACAGUUCGUACAAAUGUUCCACAAUUAAAUCAACAACAAAGAAUUGCGUACGACACUUUAAUAGAAGCUGUGAACAGUGGAUCUGGUGGAAUUUAUUUCCUUGAUGCUCCCGAAGGAACAGGAAAAACGUUCUUAAUUUCAUUGCUGUUGGCGAGGAUCAGAUCGCGAAAUGAUGUUGCUCUAGCAUUGGCAUCAUCUGGAAUAGCUGCGACUCUGCUAGAAGGCGGGCGAACUGCGCAUUCUGCCUUGAAAUUACCAUUAAAUAUGCAAAUAACCGAAACACCAAUUUGCAACAUCGCCAAAAAUAGCGCAAUGGCAAAGAUUCUACAGGUAUGUAAAUUAAUUGUUUGGGAUGAAUGCACAAUGGCCCAUAAGAGGUCACUGGAGGCACUGGACAGAACAUUGAAAGAUCUUCGUGACAACCAAAAUAUUUUUGGUGGGGCCAUGAUUCUGUUGUCAGGUGAUUUUCGUCAGACUCUUCCAUUUAUUCCCCGAUCAACUGUUGCUGAUGAACUAAAUGCAUGCCUAAAAUCAUCGAAUUUGUGGCAGUACGUAAAGACACUCCAAUUAACAACUAACAUGCGAGUAUUUUUGCAACAUGAUGAAACUGCAAAUAUGUUUGCGAAGCAGUUGUUAGACAUUGGAAAUAAUAAAGUUGCAAUGGACACCUCGACCGGAUUCAUCACAUUACCUACAGAUUUCUGUCACAUCACAGAUUCAAAAGAGGAGCUUAUUCAGCGAGUUUAACCAAAAUUGGCUGGUUGAACGAGCAAUAUUGGCAGCGAAAAAUAAAGAUGUCGAGGAUCUCAAUGCAAUCAUUUAGAAUUUUCUUCGAGGACAGUCGGUUUCCUUCAAAUCAGUCGACACCGUUAUGAACCAAGAUGACGUAGUCAACUAUCCCACGGAGUUUUCAAAUUCACUGGAAUUGCCUGGAUUACCACCUCACAAUUUGCAGUUAAAAGUAGGAUCAGUUGUCAUCAUGCUGCGUAACAUUAAUCAACCUCGGCUAUGCAAUGGAACAAGACUGGCUGUGAAAAAGCUGAUGAAUAACGUCAAUAAAUAAAUCGCAAGCACAGUCUUUAGAGGUUUGCGGAAUCAAUUUGGAGUAUCCCUGUUUCGCGCAUGGACAAUUAUACGUCGCGUGUUCGCGCGUCGGAAAACCGUCUUCUUUGUUUAUUUACGCACCACAAAAAAAAAAAAAAAAAAUAUAGUUUAUGAGAAAGCUUUAAAUUGAUUAACAAACUGUAUCAUGACAGUGUGUCACUGUUAAUAUCAAAUUUAAACCUUAUGAAUUGCCAGUAUCUCAGGAAAACUCUGUUUUUUUGGUAAGCAACAUGUGUCGAAAAUAAUAAUAAAAUUUCAUGAUUCAUUAAAAAAAUGCAUUUUUAUUCAAUACGUUUUGAUGGUUUUAAAAUUUAGGUAUUUUCUUUAUCGACUGAGGCAGUACGAAGUCUGCCGGGUCAGCUAGUUUGUUAUAUAAUCCCUCCUUUUAAUUGAUUUUGAGAAUUGUGUAAAAAGUUAAAUACCUAUUCAAAGCAAAUCAGAAGAGAAUCAGAAUUACCUCUAUCCAGCCACAUCCAUAUUAACUCUGAAAUCGUAUGAUGGUAUACUAAAGUUUUCCAUAGCAACGUUUAAUUAUAUU